UCCUCCUGUGGCAAAUAUCAUGUCUUGGUUGAUUGUCAUGGCAGCACCAAGUAGCUCGCUACCUAAUCUUACCUGGCAUAUUUACAAGAACCUUAUUAGAUAUUUGUAGAUAUGAAUAGAUCAUAGAAAUAAGAGAAUUACAAAAAAAUGUACUAUAUGUUGUCAAAAAUUCUUAAAUCUUGUAGUGCCUAGAAAUGAGAAUAGCAUUGCAUCUGCUAUAAAAUGAGAGUAAACAUGAAGUUGCUUAAAAUCAAUCCAAAGAAAGGCAUGUCAAAUGACAAGGAAACAAAACAUACAUCACAUAACUCAACUACUACAGUAGUACUUGAGGCCAUAUAAACAUGCCAACAAAAUGACAUCACUAACAAACAAUAUCCUCGCCGUGACGUGUAAACUUGUUGAUACGUCAACAUUUGAAGUUUACGCCAACCAGGGCAACGAGCAGCAACAUAAAACGCAAUGUUUAUGCUGCAAGUACAUCUCAAAGGGCUGAAAAAUAGAUCCUUGCUGCCCACUUGACAAACAUAGUACUAUUAUUUAUAACAGGAAACAAUAAUGAAAUGAAAUGAACCAAGUAUAUAUGUAUACAGGGUGACGAAUGUAGGAACAAGACUUGGGCAUGUGUGAGAGAUGAUUCACCAUCACUGCAUGUAUAUUAAUAGUGCAAGCAUGCAUAUGCAUCAGCAGCAAAACAACAUGGUAUACUGUAUGCAUAAUAAACAAAGUUAUGGUGCAGACACCUAGUGAUAUGCAUAUUCAGUUUCUUAGCCAGGAUGCCAGGAAGCACAUGGUAUACAGAUUAAAAAGUUGAUAUACCUCCUUAAGACGGUUAGAUAUUAGAUUUCAAAGCAGCAAGAACAGUCAAGUAUUUUUUCCAUAACCUGCACAAGAUAAGGUGAUGUAAAUGCACCUGCAAUCACAAAAUUCAGAUUGUGAGCUACCAUAAACCAUAUUAAAACAUAUAUGCUAUUUUUUUUGAGAAGUCUGCUAGAUGUUAGAUUCACACUAUCAUUUACCAAAAUUGAGAUAGUAGUAGUAUCAAUCUUAUAUUAUUAAUCUCUAUUUCCUUUACUUACUUGGAUCCUAGUUUUUUUGUGCGUCUACAAAAAAACAAAUCUCUUUAACCAAUAAUAAACCUAAGUUAUUUUUCAAAAUGUAGUGAUUUUUAUAGCUACCUUUUCAAGCGUGGUCCAUAUUUUCCCAUAGCUAGAAUAUCCUUAAGCUAUUAAUUUCCAAAUUUAUGCAAGAUGCAAAUAGUUCAGCAGUAAACCUUUGAUAUAUUGUAUAUUUAAAUAUGACAAAACAAAGUCCUAGAUUAUUGCAAAGCAAUGCGGCAAAAAUAAAACAUAUCAGAGAGAACACAGUACACAUGGUAUACCGAAUAGAAUAACUGAUGAGGCAAGUUCCAAAUCCAUUGUCCAAAAUAUCUAGAAUGUGGGAUAUAUCAAGUUGAUAUUGACCUGGCUGUCCAAAAUCCUCUGAAAGCAUAAGUAGGACAACAAAAAUACAUGUUAGCCCUUAACACAUAAAAGAUAGAGUUGGCGGGAUCAAUGAUUUUCUAAAUUAUGGCCAAACCUCAUACAGAACAAGAAAUAAACAUGUUCUGCUUGACCCCCAGAGACAAUUAGAAUGCUGGUUCACAUCCUAGUUAUGCUCAAUGACAUCGACUAGAUUCUUGUUACUUAAAUUGACUGUAUUAACCCAUGUACUACAACCACAAUAGGAGUAAUCGUGGCUAUAAGAGAUCUUGAUCAACAGAUGUAUGUAUCAUUCAAAAAUAUUGGAAUAAAGUAUCAAGUGGUCUGAGCAUACCAUUAUUCCCUUGCUAGUGAACAUGCAUUAUUUAAGGCAUUUUGUUAAUUGGCAUUCAGUUUCAGACCGAAAACAUCAUUCAGGGUGCAUUUAUGAAACAUGGGUGUUUAGAUUCACGACUUGCUGACCUGGCUCGACUUGGACGCUUC
rnacentral:lncRNA from 1 species